CAUUACAACAAACUGGGAAAUGUUAGCGAACCCAUCUCCUAUGAAGACGAGUCCCGGGCGACCCAUAUCAACGACUUUAUUGAUUCCGCUAUCCCAUAAAUCCCCGCUUGCUGACGUCCUGAGGUUAACAUCACAUGAUAAAGAAUGCUCAGUGACUACUGUUAUAGAACAAUAUUGUUACCCUCGACAUCCUUCGAUUACGCCCACAUUUAUAUGGCUCGGAUUGGUCGCUCCCGGUGUAACUGUCACCGCCGAGUUCACCGUACACAAUGACACCUAUGAAGAUAUUGAAUGGAUUGCUACAUGUUGUCGCUGGCUGGGCGAGCGUGGUGUUGCUGACGCGUGCAGAGACCAACUCCCUUGUGUGACGUGUCACAGUCGCGCUUGUACCUGUUCUUUGUUGACUCCGACCCGUGGAUCAUUACAGCACUCACAUCGAGAGCAACUGUUUUAUAGCGUCACAGCC